CCUUUUCUAUAGAACAGUCUAAACUUGUGUUGUAUGGUUUUCGUUCUAGGAUAAAAGGGGUUAUCUUUAAUAACCCUCACCAGCCUGGUGCCAUGAGCCGGAUCCCAACAUAUCAGCUCGCUGACAAGAGGAGCAACGCGCUGAAACCCACCGGUGGUCUUAGUCAAGGACCUGUCUAAAGUCCCGGGAGGUAAUUUCCUCGCUGGGCCAGCGUCAAAGGUUAACUCCUUUCGCCAACGAGGGAUUGACGGGAUCCGACCGGGAGAAAAACACACCACAGCAAUUUGGCUUUUUGGAUACUCACCCGCCUUGACUUCCCGUUCGACGAACCAAGCUUCCCGUGAAUCCACUACGCUCAGAUGUUGCUCUGGCAAUCCUCCUCUUACUCCCUUGGCGUUACCAAGUCGGGCUCGAGGUUCCUCCUCCCUGGAUUCUGCUGGUUCCCUCCGUUCUCUGGUUAAUCCAUCUGUCACCUCUGUCUGCCGUGGUUCGCUCCGGAUCCCUCGCCGACUUACCAUCAGCCCGCCCUCCUGUUGCUAGCCACCUGUUAACCAUCAUGAGCAUUCAACUCCAGAGUUCCCUCGGCACUACUUCCCCGGUUAGAUCAGCCCAACUAAAUGUUUCUCCAGAAUUGAUGUCAGACCUCGAUAGAUCCAGUCAACUGUGUCGUUCUCUGCAACCUGAACUUAAAUA